rnacentral:rRNA from 1 species
AACGAACGCUGGCGGCAGGCUUAACACAUGCAAGUCGAGCGCCCCGCCAGGGGAGCGGCAGACGGGUGAGUAACGCGUGGGAACGUACCUUUUGGUUCGGAACAACUCCGGGAAACUGGAGCUACUACCGGAUAAGCCCUAACGGGGAAAGAUUUAUCGCCGAAAGCUCGGCCCGCGUCUGAUUAGCUAGUUGGUGAGGUAACGGCUCACCAAGGCGACGAUCAGUAGCUGGUCUGAGAGGAUGAUCAGCCACACUGGGACUGAGACACGGCCCAGACUCCUACGGGAGGCAGCAGUGGGGAAUAUUGGACAAUGGGCGCAAGCCUGAUCCAGCCAUGCCGCGUGAGUGAUGAAGGCCUUAGGGUUGUAAAGCUCUUUUGUCCGGGAAGAUAAUGACUGUACCGGAAGAAUAAGCCCCGGCUAACUUCGUG